UCCAUGUAGGCAAUGUAGUGUGCCUGGUUCGCCCAGGUACGCACAUUGUCGUGUGGCGUAUGGGAGCUGAAUGUCCUGCUGGACUGGAGGUAUAUUCCCGUUCCACAUCAUGGUACAUCAACUGGACCUCUGUGGGUUCAGGCCGUGUAUAUUCCAGAACCUUCCUAGAGCUGUUAGCACAGCAAGUACUGGGGAGACUAGCCAUACACGGAAUAAAA